CUUUCCCAGUGACGUAAUACGGGUCCUUUCGCAAGGCAAACUUGUGGUUUUUGCAGCAGCAGUAGCGAGUAGCCCCUUCGAAAGAGGGAGGUAGGAAGCGGCAGAUGGGCUUGUCUGGCAGCGCCGCUCUCCCCUGCUCUUUGAUUUGUCUCCAUAAAGUGCUUCGAGAACUUUUGUUGAAAAGCAGUGCAGAAAUGUUCGUAGUAGGGAGUAAUUGUGGAAAACAGGAAUGACAGAGACUCUCUCCAAGCGGCAUCAUGCAUGUGCUGGACACUGGGAACGCCACUCUAACACUCUGCACGCUUAUGCUGGAUCUUCCAUUUAACAUAUUAGAUCAUUAGAAGAACCCCUGUUUGGAGGACUCUGAAGAUGUACCUGUUUUCCCAGGCCUUCAACCGAGAUUUGAUUUUUAAAUUUUAAUGUUUAUUUAUGACUUUUAUGAAUUUUAAAUGUGUUAUGUUAAUUCUGUACACCGCCUAGAGAUUUUUAUACUAGGCGGUAUAUAAAUUUAAUAAAUACAUAAAUAACUGCACUAAAAAGACUUUGGAAGUUAGUACCUGCAUUUGCCUCUUGGAGGGCAACUGUAUAAUUACUGUGCCAUUCACCUUCCUUAGUAACACGCCACAGGUUCCUGUAACAGUAUGCAAAGAGAGUUUUGUCUGCAUUCCAAUAUAAUUUGACUCGGAACUUUCCAGGGGCAUCUUGUGGCCACUGAGGGAAACAGGAUGCUGGACUUUGGGUCUCAUCCAAGCAAGGCUUUUCUUAUGUUCUCAUGACUCUACAGCCCAACUCAUCCUGGGAGCAGCAUGGAAGCCAUUUGCCCAUGGCUUCUUCCCUAAGUGCUCCAGUAGGCAUCUGAAUCCAGGAAGCAUGUGGACAGAGGAAGGUGCCAAGUUCCUUCCCAGCCUAUCACUGCCCCACCUGUACGAUAGGUUUGUUCUGCUCCUGUGUCAGUGACGUUCCUGCCACCUUCAAGGAUCGCUUCCCUCCUCCUUGAGCAGAGCCAAAGAGCCCAGCAAUACCUCAUGAACAGCACCAGUAGAAUAAUCUCUUCUGUGACAUAUGACUGGACAGUCCCUAUUCAGGCUCUAUUAACUUAAACCCUAAAUGUCACAGUUUUACUGUCUCCCACACCAAUGACCAGUAGAAAGGGUUUUGCUCAAAGAUGGUAAGAGAAUAAGCAGCCAUAUGCUUGUGAUUCUCCUAUACUACAGCUGUAAAGAUGCAAAAGGGAACAUAGGGAACUGCCUUAUACCGAGUCAGACCACUGGUCCAUCUAGCUCAGUACUGCCUACACUGACUGGUAGUGGCUUGUCCAAGGUUUCAGGCAAGAGUCUUUCCCAGCCCUACUUGGAGAUGCCAGGGAUUGAACUUGGGACCUUCUUCAUGCAAAGCAGAUGCUCUACCACUAAGCUAUGGCUUCAUCCCCUAAAAAAAACAACACCAAGACCUAGCUGUCCCAAUUCUAACCAUCCAACCCAAGUUUGCGUCACCCCGCCAUGCCGAUUCCAGUCUCUACCUGCU